AUGGAAGUGGCUGAUGAUCACAGAGAUUUGGCCCUUUUCUACACUCUGUUUAUCAUUGUGAAGGGAAGCGACAAUAGCAGUGACACGGCACCCACCCUUACUGUGCUGCCCCCGUCCAGCGUGGAGCAGGAUCAGGAGAAGGCCACUCUGGUCUGUGUGGGCAGCGGAGGCUUCCCCUCAGACUGGAAGCUGAGCUGGAAGGUGGGCGGUGACUCAUUGGAGUCGGGGGUCAGUCACAGCCCUGCGCUUCUGCAGAAGAACGACGGCCUCUACAGCUGGAGCAGCACCCUGACCCUCAGCCAGCAGCAGUGGCUGAAGAACACAGUGACCUGUGAGGCCACCAAGGACUCCCAGCCUACCGUCCGCAAGACAGUGAGCGCAGACCAAUGCUCUGACCUGUGACCUCACAAAUGCACCUCCGCUUCACUAAGAUCGGAUCAUUUAGCACAGCAGUCAGUUAGAUGUGUUAAAUGUGUUUCAGUGCUGAAAUGUGUGAAACUUUGCCUUAUAAAUAAAAGCUUUCCUUCAAAAACUGAAA